AUGAAGGUUAGUUCAGCGAUGCAUGUCUUUAGCAAGUCAACAAGUGCUGCCCUGAGGUACAUGGUGGCGGAGGAGCACAGACCAGAAUCCUACCUUACCACUUCAUGGUUUUUGGAGAAGGUGGACCACUGGUUUGACCUCAUGUUAUCACGCAACGUAGUUACUGCCCUGAGUCAUUUCAAGAUGGAGGAGUAUGAUAAGGCCAUCAGCUUCCUCCGGGACUCCAUCCAUCUGUUUCGGGGCCUGAAGAUCGGUCCCAAGGGCAGCUGGAAACCAGUCCAGACAGGACUGGUGAUGGCCACAACAACAAUCCUGGAGGUCCAGCAUGACUUGUUGAGUCAAGGGCACAAAUUUGUCCUCACAAGCCGCUUCACCCAGGACUGCCUGGAAAACACAUUUUCGUCCAUUCGUCUGAGGAACUCUGUCCCAACACCUGUAGAGUUCCAAUAUGCUGUCACCGUGGGCCAGUUCCUAUCGCCAGUGCAUACUGGCAGUUACCUGGAGGAUGGAUCCGACCACUUGGCAGACUUCCUGGACACGCAGAACAGCACCUGCUGUCCUCCUGAUGUUCUAAGAGUGGAGCAGCUGGUAGACCUGAUAUCAACACCUGACAUCACCAAAACCGAGUCCUGUGUGCUGUACCACCUGGCAGGAUACAUAGUGAAAAGAGUCAUCAGCUUCUCACUUUGUGACAAAUGCAAGUGUGCACUAGUGCAAAAUGUCAGCAAUGAAAAUGAGAGAGCUGUCCUGCUGGAAUUAAAAGAAUUUAAAAGGGGCGCACUUUUCCGUCCAUCUGAUGAGGUUUUCACUCUUGUUCAGAACGUGGAGCAGCUGUUCCGUGGGCAGACGAGUGAUUCCCUCAUGGAGUCCUCAAAUGCAGUGGCACAGCUGGAACAAAAGGCCAUGUUACUGCACAGCAACCUUCCCUCAUGCCAUGACCUGAAGAAAAAAAUAAUCUCCACAUACAUCAGGCUGAGGUUAAGGAUUGCUUCAAAGUGUAUCAGGGCUGAGAGGAAGGAAAAAAAUAAAGGGUAUCUUGGCAGCAAGAGUCAGAGUAAGAAGGCAAAGAAGAAACAACAGACAUCUGAACCGAAGGUCAUAGCAUCUAGGCCACUGCCGAACACCUUACUCGUUGCCAUGGAUGUACUUGGCAUCUCCAUUCCUGGUCCACCGUCAGCAGCCCCCAGCCUCCUCGUCUUUCAGCAGUCAUCACCUGCAGCCGUCGCCAGCACCAGUCACCAAUAG
rnacentral:lncRNA from 1 species